rnacentral:snRNA from 1 species
GGAUGUGAAGGUGAUCUGGCUGAGACAUCUGUCAUCUCAUUGUUCACAAAGGCUGAUUUGGCUGACAUGCCUAGAUAGGUGGGUGUCCCCUUCCUACCUCACCACCUCAUCUGCAUCCCUCCUAAAGUUGGGUGCUCAGUGGAAAAGCACAACCAUCAGUUGUAUAGGAGUUACCAUGUACAGCAGAGGUCGUCAGCCCCCGGUCCGCGGCCCGGUGAGACGGACUGGGCCGCGAAGAC